AUACGGGGGGGGCAAGCGUUAUUCGGAAUUACUGGGCGUAAAGGGCGCGUAGGCGGCCUGGUAAGUGAAAGGUGAAAUUCCUCGGCUCACCCGAGGAACUGCGUCUGAUACUGCCAUGCUUGAGUCCCGGAGAGGGUAGCGGAAUUCCCAGUGUAGCGGUGAAAUGCGUAGAUAUUGGGAGGAACACCAGUGGCGAAGGCGGCUACCUGGACGGGUACUGACGCUGAGGCGCGAAAGCGUGGGGAGCAAACAGGAUUAGAAACCCCGGUAGUCC
rnacentral:rRNA from 1 species